UUAGGAGGAACACCAGUGGCGAAGGCGGCCUUCUGGACCAGUAACUGACACUAGAGGUACGAAAGCGUGGGUAGCAAACAGGAUUAGAUACCCUGGUAGUCCACGCCGUAAACGAUGGGCACUAGGUGUCGGGCUCAUAAGAGUUCGGUGCCGGAGCAAACGCAUUAAGUGCUCCGCCUGGGGAGUACGCACGCAAGUGUAAAACUCAAAGGAAUUGACGGGGACCCGCACGAGCAGCGGAGCAUGUGGUUUAAUUCGAAGCAACGCGAAGAACCUUACCAGGGCUUGACAUCCCUCUGAAAGACCGGGUAAUGCCGGUCCCCUCUUCGGAGCAGAGGAGACAGGUGGUGCAUGGUUGUCGUCAGCUCGUGUCGUGAGAUGUUGGGUUAAGUCCCGCAACGAGCGCAACCCUUGCCGUUAGUUGCCAUCAUUAAGUUGGGCACUCUAAUGGGACUGCCGGAGACAAUCCGGAGGAAGGCGGGGAUGACGUCAAAUCAUCAUGCCCCUUAUGUCCUGGGCGACACACGUGCUACAAUGGCCGUCACAGAGGGAGGCGACGGAGCGAUCCUGAGCGAACCCCCAAAGGCGGUCCCAGUUCGGACUGCAGGCUGAAACCCGCGUGCACGAAGCCGGA
rnacentral:rRNA from 1 species